UGGGGAAUUUUGCACAAUGGGCGAAAGCCUGAUGCAGCAACGCCGCGUGUGUGAUGAAGGUCUUCGGAUCGUAAAGCACUUUCGACCGGGACGAACACCUCUUGGCCAACAUCCAAGAGCCUGACGGUACCGGGAGAAGAAGCACCGGCUAACUCUGUGCCAGCAGCCGCGGUAAUACAGAGGGUGCAAGCGUUGUUCGGAAUUAUUGGGCGUAAAGCGCGUGUAGGCGGCUUUGCAAGUUGGGUGUGAAAUCCCUCGGCUCAACCGAGGAAGUGCGCCCAAAACUGCAUGGCUUGAGUCUCGGAGAGGAUGGCGGAAUUCCCCAAGUAGAGGUGAAAUUCGUAGAUAUGGGGAGGAACACCGGUGGCGAAGGCGGCCAUCUGGACGAAGACUGACGCUGAGACGCGAAAGCGUGGGGAGCAAACAGGAUUAGAUACCCGCGUAGUCC
rnacentral:rRNA from 1 species